rnacentral:tRNA from 1 species
AGGGCAGAGCUCAGUGGUAGAGCACAUGCUUAGCAUGCAUGAGGUCCUGGGUUCAAUCCCCAGCACCUCUG